GGCUCAGUUGGUAGAGCAUAGCACUCACAAUGCCAGGGUUGUGGGUUUGAUUCCCAC
rnacentral:tRNA from 1 species